UUCCAGACUCCUACGGGAGGCAGCAGAGGGGAAUAUUGCACAAUGGGGGGAACCCUGAUGCAGCGACGCCGCGUGGGUGAAGGAGCACCUCGGUGCGUAAAGCCCUAUCGGCAGGGAAGAAAAGCGAACAGGUUCGCCUGGACGGUACCUGACUAAGAAGCCCUGGCUCACUACGUGCCAGCAGCCGCGGUAAUACGUAGGUGGCAAGCGUUAUCCGGAUUUACUGGGUGUAAAGGGCGUGUAGGCGGGGACGCAAGUCAGAUGUGAAAACCAUGGGCUCAACCUGUGGCCUGCAUUUGAAAUUGUGUUUCUUGAGUACUGGAGAGGCAGACGGAAUUCCUAGUGUAGCGGUGAAAUGCGUAGAUAUUAGGAGGAACACCAGUGGCGAAGGCGGUCUGCUGGACAGCAACUGACGCUGAGGCGCGAAAGCGUGGGGAGCAAACAGGAUUAGAUACCCGGGUAU
rnacentral:rRNA from 1 species